UAAAAGAAAAAGUUAUAAAUGAAUUGAUAAUCGGAUUUGAAUUUUAAAAGGAUUGGUUUAUACUGUAUGUAACACUAGGUGGCAGUGAAACCCCAGGGAAUCUAAUCCAGCUCAAUGGCUGAUAAUAUCCUCCACUCCGUCUUGGGGGGCAUAGAUUAGCAUUCAUGUUGCACUCCCUGUCAGUAUCUAGCCCAAGCUGGGGAAGCUAAUGAUCCAACCAGUGGACCAAAUUUGGUGAUGAAUCCUGGUCACGUGCCAUCUGAGGCACAUUGUGCAUGUACUAAGAUGACUCUGUAAUGCAAAGUUUCCUCUUGCACAUAGGCACCGGCCCAUGGCAGGAAACCUAGCCCAAGACCCACACAGCUUCAAGAUUUCAGGAUGCAGAUAAGUACAAUGGCAGCCUAUGGCAGAGACCUGAAUUUGGAAACACAGCCAGGAUACCACUUGGCCAGAUCAGAGACCCCAGUGAGAUGUGGUGGAAGUCUCAAGGCUUGGAACUAUAAAAAUUACACUGGACAAAGCACCAGAUGAUAUAUUGUAGAGGACAGGGCUGGCAGAGAGAAGGUAAUAGAUGAACUAAUAAGUCAUUUCCCUCUCUAACUUCUAUGAUCCUUAAGAUUUGUGAAGCAAAGUAUCAACAUGUGAAAAAAAAAAAUUCAGCAGAAUCCAAAUAUUGUAGACGUAAGAUGAUGGCAAAGUGGAUACAGACACACACUUUUCCAGAGAAGAAUUCUGCUCUGAAGUUCUCACUACCCAUUCUCUCCAUUUGUGUGGAGCAACUAUUUCUGGAAGCAACAUGAGUCCCGCCCAUCAAUCACGUCUAGAAAAGUCAAGCUAGGAUGAGAACAAUUAACAUCCCUCGGGCCAUGGCUGUAGAGCCUUCUGAAGCUUUCAGUAAAGUAUCUUUUAACAGAGAAGAACAGCUUUCUACCAGGGGGAGCCUCCAGCAAAAACACUGAAAGCUUCAUCAUGGCCAUACAAGGUGCAACCAAGUGGCUUUAUGUAUCCCAAUCCAAGUACAAAAAAGGAUUAGUUCUCCUUCUAAAGCCCAGGGAUUUCCUAUCAAGGUACUGCAAAGCCUGUGACUGGAAAUAACACACUGGGACACCACCACCACUAACGCUCAGGACUCCAGCAUCCAGAUCCACAGUCACAACAGUUUCCCUUAAAUCUUCACUGCCGAGUGAUUAAAGAACAGAAUAGAGAACCAGGAGACCUGUGUUCUAGUUCCAGCAACACUACUGCUUCACUGUUCAACUGGCUAAAUAACUUCAUUUAGCUGUGCCUCAGAUUUCCCAUCUGUACAAUGAGGAGAAUACUAACCUCACAUGGGUGUUGUGAACCUUAACUAGAAAGGGCUCCUGAAACUCUGAGCUACUUAGAUCAAAGGCACUAUGGAAAUGCAAAUCAUUACUAAGGUUAUUAUAGCAAAUGAACACACUGCCCAGUGUUUAUCUGUGAAUUUUAGCUGCCAAAAACUAAUCCCUACAGAUCCAUCAGAAAGACUAAAUCUGUAACACAACUCUGAGAGCCAAACUGUUUAUUUACAGAAUCCACUUUUCUGAAAGAGCUAGGUGCUGCUUAUUUACGAUCUUUUCUUCUAGCUAGUUAUCAAGAUGGCAACAGCUUCCCUGUGAGACUCUACAUUUGGCUGUAGAAGCUGUGAGGACUGCUUUGAAGAAAUAGAGUGGGUUACUUCUGUAUGAUAAAAUACACACAAUAUACAAUAAAGAGAACGCUCCUGAAGUCUUGGCCUUCUUUGUAAACAAUCAUUACAAUAAAUAGGCAAUUUCCAUAACUCAGUACCACUGGUUCAGUUUAUCCACUCUCAAAGGCUCCCAAAGCAAAAGUAACAAUCACAAGAGAUUUGUUAGAAGGAACAACAGUUCUCAAUCCUCAAUCUUUACCAGAGAAAAGCCCUUCUUUAAAUGGACAGAAUACUUGGCCCUGUGACUUCAGUAAGCUUAAACCUGGAGUUUUCCAGUAAGCUGCAUUUCAUUAUCACUUUCACAGACUGACACAACUGUACUCCACUCCCACAGGGCUAUGAAGGACGUGCAGCUAUUGAUCUAGUCAGUGCCACAUGUCAUUGUCCUGAUGCACCACAUGGAGGAAACAUGAACUUCAACAAACUCUUCCCCCUCCCCGGACGUUCACUUUCAACUGUGAAAAAAAAAUCUAGCAGAUUUCCUUUGUUAGUAGCCAGUUCACUUUUAGGUUGAGGGUUUCUCAUUUUAAACCACCAAGGGUAUGUCUACAUGGCAAUUAAAUACUUGUGGCUGGCCCGUCCCAGGGGCAGUUGGGCUUGGGCUGUGAAAUUGCGGUGCAGAUGUUCAGGCUGGGUGGGAUACUGGGCUCUAGAAUUCUCCCCCUUCCCAGGGUCUCAGAGCUUGGGCUCCCGCCCAAGACAAAACACCUAAACUGCAAUUUAACAGCCCUGUAGCCUGAGCCCCACAGCAGGUGUUUAAUUACAGUGUAGACAUAGGCUAUAUGGUAGUCUCUUCAUCAUUCAGAAUACCUGGAAUUAUUAUAUAAUUACUAUAGUUACAGCCAUAGUUAAAUUUGAAAACCAGCUUUCAUCAGAACACCCCCUUUUGCAGUUGCUCACAGCUUUCUCAAAUGGAAUUUUUAUGUAAAUUUUUUUGAAUACUAAGAAAGGGAGAAAUCACUUCAACAACAGUCAAAGUAAAACUCAAAAUUAAGAUAUCAAAAUUAGUAAAACAGGCAGGAGGAAGGAGAAGAAAAUCUUAAUAUUGGGUAGAGCUUUGAUACGGCAACUAAUAAACAUGUUACACAUCUAAAUGCAAGAAAAACUAGAAGCUUGGAUCUCAACAUGAGAUGUAAGAUGUUAAUUAACACUAUCAACUAAAAAGACAGAAGGAGAAGAUGAAAAGCAUCAACCAUAAUAUGUAGUUAAUAUCACAAAGAAGAAAGAUGGGUGGCAGGUCUUGUUAAUGUAGCUUUAAGGCCUUCCAUAGGUCAAUUUAUAAUUGUGUAUUUCUGUAUAAUAGGAAUUUUAUCUCAAGUUGCAAAACAAGUUUUAUAAGAUUUCUGCUAUAAAAAUGGACCUGAUAAUAAAUACAAAU